UUAAAGUGAAGAGUUUGAUCCUGGCUCAGAUUGAACGCUGGCGGCAUGCCUAACACAUGCAAGUCGAACGGCAGCGCGGGGGAGCUUGCUCCCCUGGCGGCGAGUGGCGGACGGGUGAGUAACGCGCAGGAAUCUGCCCAGUAGUGGGGGACAACUCGGAGAAAUCCGAGCUAAUACCGCAUACGCCCUUCGGGGGAAAGCGGGGGAUCUUCGGACCUCGCGCUAUUGGAUGAGCCUACGUCCGAUUAGCUUGUUGGUGGGGUAACGGCCUACCAAGGCGACGAUCGGUAGCUGGUCUGAGAGGAUGAUCAGCCACACUGGGACUGAGACACGGCCCAGACUCCUACGGGAGGCAGCAGUGGGGAAUAUUGGACAAUGGGGG
rnacentral:rRNA from 1 species